ACACAUAAUGACUAUUUUUAUAGUGCUUUUUGUCAUUUUUGGAGCUUUACAACACCAGUCUCCCUCCACUUUCACUUUUCAAAAAGC